GGGAGUGAAAUAGAACCUGAAACCCUGCACUUACAAGCUGUGGAAGCACAUUUCUUGUGUGACCGCGUACUUUUUGUAGAACGGGCCAACGAGUUACGUUAAGUAGCAAGGUUAAGCACUUAAGGUGCGGAGCCGUAGCGAAAGCGAGUUUUAACUGAGCGUUCAGUUACUUGCCGUAGACCCGAAACCGGGCGACCUACCCAUGAGCAGGAUGAAGCGAAAGUAAAAUUUCGUGGAGGUCCGAACCCACGAGCGUUGAAAAGCCCGGGGAUGACUUGUGGGUAGCGGUGAAAUUCCAAUCGAGCCCGGAGAUAGCUGGUUCUCCCCGAAAUAGCUUUAGGGCUAGCCUCAAGGGGAGAGAUACGGAGGUAGAGCACUGAAUGUCCUAGGGG
rnacentral:rRNA from 1 species